UACGUAGGCAGCAAGCGUUGUUCGGAGUUACUGGGCGUAAAGGGUGCGUAGGCGGCUUGGUAAGUGUGGUGUGAAAUCUCCCGGCUCAACUGGGAGGGUGCGCUACAAACUGCCGGGCUAGAGUGCGGGAGAGGAGAGUGGAAUUCCUGGUGUAGCGGUGAAAUGCGUAGAUAUCAGGAGGAACACCGGUGGCGAAGGCGGGUCUCUGGGCCGUAACUGACGCUGGAGGAAGCGAAAGCCGUGGGGAGCAAACAGG
rnacentral:rRNA from 1 species